rnacentral:rRNA from 1 species
CCUACGGGUGGCAGCAGUGGGGAAUAUUGCACAAUGGGCGAAACCCUGAUGCAGCGACGCCGCGUGAGUGAAGAAGUAUUUCGGUAUGUAAAGCUCUAUCAGCAGGGAAGAAGAAACACGGUACUUGACUAAGAAGCACCGACUAACUACGUGCCAGCAGCCGCGGUAAUACGGAGGGGGCAAGCGUUAUCCGGACUUACUGGGUGUAAAGGGAGCGUAGACGGUUGGGCAAGUCUGAAGUGAAAGCCCAGGGCUCAACGCUGGAACUGCCUUGGAAACUGUGGAGCUAGAGUGCUGGAGAGGUUAGUGGAAUUCCUAGUGUAGCGGUGAAAUGCGUAGAUAUUAGGAGGAACACCAGUGGCGAAGGCGGCUUACUGGACAGUAACUGACGUUGAGGCUCGAAAGCGUGGGGAGCAAACAGGAUUAGAUACCCGAGUAGUC